UCCGGUUUGUCACCGGCAGUCCCAUUAGAGUGCCCAACUAAAUGUAGCAACUAAUGGCAAGGGUUGCGCUCGUUGCGGGACUUAACCCAACAUCUCACGACACGAACUGACGACAGCCAUGCAGCACCUGUGCUCCUCCCACCCGAGGUGAAAGAGUCCAUCUCUGGACCCUAUAGAGGGCAUGUCAAGGCCUGGUAAGGUUCUUCGCGUUGCCUCGAAUUAAACCACAUGUUCCACCGCUUGUGCGGGUCCCCGUCAAUUCCUUUGAGUUUUAAUCUUGCGACCGUACUCCCCAGGCGGGAUGCUUACCGCGUUAGCUGCGCCACUGAGAGGUAACCCCCCAACGGCUAGCAUCCAUCGUUUACAGCGUGGACUAC
rnacentral:misc_RNA from 1 species